rnacentral:rRNA from 1 species
GACGAACGCUGGCGGCGUGCUUAACACAUGCAAGUCGAACGGUGAACGAGGGAGCUUGCUCCCUCCGGAUCAGUGGCGAACGGGUGAGUAACACGUGAGCAAUCUGCCCCGAACUCUGGGAUAAGCGUUGGAAACGACGUCUAAUACCGGAUACGACGCGGGAGGGCAUCCUCUCCGCGUGGAAAGAACUUCGGUUCGGGAUGAGCUCGCGGCCUAUCAGCUUGUUGGUGAGGUAACGGCUCACCAAGGCGACGACGGGUAGCCGGCCUGAGAGGGUGACCGGCCACACUGGGACUGAGACACGGCCCAGACUCCUACGGGAGGCAGCAGUGGGGAAUAUUGCACAAUGGGCGCAAGCCUGAUGCAGCAACGCCGCGUGAGGGACGACGGCCUUCGGGUUGUAAACCUCUUUUAGCAGGGAAGAAGCGAAAGUGACGGUACCUGCAGAGAAAGCACCGGCUAACUACGUG